rnacentral:rRNA from 1 species
CCUACGGGCGGCAGCAGUGGGGAAUAUUGCACAAUGGGCGCAAGCCUGAUGCAGCCAUGCCGCGUGUGUGAAGAAGGCCUUCGGGUUGUAAAGCACUUUCAGCGGGGAGGAAGGCGGUGAGGUUAAUAACCUCAUCGAUUGACGUUACCCGCAGAAGAAGCACCGGCUAACUCCGUGCCAGCAGCCGCGGUAAUACGGAGGGUGCAAGCGUUAAUCGGAAUUACUGGGCGUAAAGCGCACGCAGGCGGUCUGUCAAGUUGGAUGUGAAAUCCCCGGGCUCAACCUGGGAACUGCAUUCGAAACUGGCAGGCUAGAGUCUUGUAGAGGGGGGUAGAAUUCCAGGUGUAGCGGUGAAAUGCGUAGAGAUCUGGAGGAAUACCGGUGGCGAAGGCGGCCCCCUGGACAAAGACUGACGCUCAGGUGCGAAAGCGUGGGGAGCAAACAGGAUUAGAUACCCCUGUAGUC